rnacentral:rRNA from 1 species
UACGUAGGGUGCGAGCGUUAAUCGGAAUUACUGGGCGUAAAGCGUGCGCAGGCGGUUUUGUAAGCCAGAUGUGAAAGCCCCGGGCUCAACCUGGGAAUGGCAUUUGGGACUGCAAGGCUGGAGUAUGGCAGAGGAGACUAGAAUUCCUGGUGUAGCAGUGAAAUGCGUAGAUAUGCGGAGGAACACCGAUGGCGAAGGCAAUCCCCUGGGCCUGCACUGACGCUCAUGCACGAAAGCGUGGGGAGCAAACAGG